UGGGGAAUAUUGCACAAUGGGCGCAAGCCUGAUGCAGCCAUGCCGCGUGUGUGAAGAAGGCCUUCGGGUUGUAAAGCACUUUCAGCGAGGAGGAAGGUGGUGAGCUUAAUACGCUCAUCAAUUGACGUUACUCGCAGAAGAAGCACCGGCUAACUCCGUGCCAGCAGCCGCGGUAAUACGGAGGGUGCAAGCGUUAAUCGGAAUUACUGGGCGUAAAGCGCACGCAGGCGGUUUGUUAAGUCAGAUGUGAAAUCCCCGGGCUCAACCUGGGAACUGCAUUUGAAACUGGCAAGCUAGAGUCUCGUAGAGGGGGGUAGAAUUCCAGGUGUAGCGGUGAAAUGCGUAGAGAUCUGGAGGAAUACCGGUGGCGAAGGCGGCCCCCUGGACGAAGACUGACGCUCAGGUGCGAAAGCGUGGGGAGCAAAACAGGAUUAGAUACCCUGGUAGUCCACGCUGUAAACGAUGUCGAUUUUGGAGGUUGUGCCCUUGAGGCGUGGCUUCCGGAGCUAACGCGUUAAAUCGACCGCCUGGGGAGUACGGCCGCAAGGUUAAAACUCAAAUGAAUUGACGGGGUCAUAGCUGUUUCCU
rnacentral:rRNA from 1 species